GGGACAUUGGUGUAAUAGUUAGCACAGGAGUUUGUGGAGCUCCUGGAAGGGGUGCAAUUCCCCUAUGUCCCC
rnacentral:tRNA from 1 species